AUGAAGCUUACUGAGUACUUGGACGAGAUCAAUUCAGGCCGGGCUUUUGGCCCCAUUAAAGCUGUCCUAUAUACUGUUGAGUUCCAAAAGCAUGGGCUGCCCCACGCGCAUAUGCUUGUCUGGCAGAGAGGGGGCAACGGUGAGAUUGGUGUUGAAAAUAUUAAUUCAUUAAUAUCUGCUGAGAUACCUGAUGCGUUGCUUGAUCCUCUAGGGUAUGCUUUAGUUUCCGAGUUUAUGAUGCACGGUCUGUGUGGUGAAAUGAAUGAUAAAUGUGUCUGCAUGAAAAAAGGUGUUUGUCCUAAAUAUUUUCCAAAGGAUUUUAGAGAUGCUACUGUCAUUGAUGACAACGGAUUUGUCUUAUAUCGAUGUCGCGACGAUGGUCGAAGGAUUUAUAAAAUGGUCACUUUCUUGACAAUAGGCAUGUUGUUCCUUAUAAUAUGGCGAUGUUCAAGAAAUUUUAGGGCCAUCUAA
rnacentral:rRNA from 1 species